rnacentral:rRNA from 1 species
UACGUAGGGUGCAAGCGUUGUCCGGAAUUAUUGGGCGUAAAGAGCUCGUAGGCGGUCUGUCGCGUCUGCUGUGAAAACUCGGGGCUCAACCCCGAGCCUGCAGUCGAUACGGGCAGACUAGAGUGCGGUAGGGGAGACUGGAAUUCCUGGUGUAGCGGUGAAAUGCGCAGAUAUCAGGAGGAACACCGGUGGCGAAGGCGGGUCUCUGGGCCGUAACUGACGCUGAGGAGCGAAAGCGUGGGGAGCAAACAGG